AGAGUUCUUAGAAACAUCAUUAUCCAAGGCUCUUAAUAGAAUCUCUUAGUUUAAUUAGGAAUUAAAAAAAAUAGCAAUUAACGCAAAAAACGAUUCUUAAUUAGAAUACAAAAGAGACAAUUUUUGUAACUCUCUCCUCUCCUUGGUUGUAGCUUCUUCAACCACUCUCAUCUCCUUUGCUUCCAUCUCUCUCCCUCUCUCACGAAGAUUGAUCCCAGUUUUGGAGGGGAUAGAUGGAAUUCGUUGUCGGGAGUGUUUCGGGUCGUCUUCUGCUCCAAUGGAGCUGAUUUGGGUUGGGAUUGAUCGGGUUUUGUUGUUGGAGAAGGUCGCUUAAGAGCAGCCACAACGAAUCAAAUUGCUAGUUCCAAGUCCAUUCAGACAAGCGAGGAUGUAAAACCGCAGAGGAUAACCAUAUCGUUAGGUUGAGAACAAAGAUGCAGCAUGAGCAGAACAGAGAAGAGAUGGAUGCACAAGACAGGUUUUUCUCAGAGUCAAUCAAGCAGAUAUAUGACAAUAGAGAUGCAAAGGAGGAGGAUUUCAAGAUGUUGCAGCAGCAAGAGCGUGCCAAAGUUGUCGAGCAGCAGCAGAAGAAAAACGUUAAUCUCUCCAGCAAAGAUGAAUUACGAAAGAUAGCUGAGGAGGUUUCAGGUUCCAUAGAGUUACAAGAGAAAGAUAUGGAGGAGUUUGUGGAGGAGAGGGAGAAGAUGAUAGAAGAGGCAUAUUGUCGUUCUAUGUGUGUGUUAGGAGUACUUGUUAAACGGUGUGGCACCUGGUGCACAAAUAAUAUCUUGUAAGAUUGGAGACUCGCGGUUAGGGUCGAUGGAGACUGGAGCUGGCUUGACACGGGCAUUGAUAGCUGCCCUGGAGCAUAAUUGUAAUCUGAGAACAUGCUCAAUCAAAUUCCCAUAAAGAGUCAAAAGGUUGUGUAACAUCUCUUAUUGAACAAGGAUGCGCAAGUGGAUGUGUUGUACAUGUCAGAUACAAGACUCCAAUGAAGAGGAAGACUUGAAAUUUUCUCAGCAGCAAUCCGAUGGUAUGUUGUUGUUAUCUACAAUGCCACCAAUCAAAUGAGUUGACAUUUGGUCGAAUGAUUUGAACAUUUUUGUAAGUACAUUUGGUCGAAUGCUUUGAAUUUUUUUUUUUUUUAAGAAUCCCUAAAUAACAGACUUUCAUUAGAGCACAAAAAUGUUGGUGUCUCUUUACUAGGUC